CAAGUCGAACGGUAACAGGUCUUCGGAUGCUGACGAGUGGCGAACGGGUGAGUAACACAUCGGAACGUGCCCGAUCGUGGGGGAUAACGCAGCGAAAGUUGUGCUAAUACCGCAUACGUCCUGAGGGAGAAAGCGGGGGACCGCAAGGCCUCGCGCGAUGAGAGCGGCCGAUGUCAGAUUAGCUAGUUGGUGAGGUAAAGGCUCACCAAGGCGACGAUCUGUAGCGGGUCUGAGAGGAUGAUCCGCCACACUGGGACUGAGACACGGCCCAGACUCCUACGGGAGGCAGCAGUGGGGAAUAUUGGACAAUGGGCGCAAGCCUGAUCCAGCAAUGCCGCGUGAGUGAUGAAGGCCUUAGGGUUGUAAAGCUCUUUCGCACGCGACGAUGAUGACGGUAGCGUGAGAAGAAGCCCCGGCUAACUUCGUGCCAGCAGCCGCGG
rnacentral:rRNA from 1 species